rnacentral:lncRNA from 1 species
AUCAUCCUCUGCUAGGGCUGCUUCGUCCAAACCAGCUAAUGAAGGGACUACACUUAAAGAGAAAUCUUCAGUCCCAGAAUCUUCAUCACAACCAAUGGACGAGCCACCUUCUUCCUAGGGCGUUGACCCCCCAAACGUCGAAGCAGAAGGUAAUUCGUUUUUUGAUGCUUUACCUUUGCUUGUGCUAUUGGUGUUGAUUUGUUGCCUUUUGAG